UACAGAGGGUGCGAGCGUUAAUCGGAAUUACUGGGCGUAAAGCGCGCGUAGGCGGCUUUGCAAGUCGAUUGUGAAAUCCCCGGGCUCAACCUGGGAACUGCAUUCGAGACUGCAUUGCUAGAGUAUGGGAGAGGGAAGUGGAAUUUCAGGUGUAGCGGUGAAAUGCGUAGAUAUCUGAAGGAACAUCAGUGGCGAAAGCGACUUCCUGGACCAAUACUGACGCUCAUGUGCGAAAGCGUGGGGAGCAAAC
rnacentral:rRNA from 1 species